AUUGAACGCUGGCGGCAUGCUUUACACAUGCAAGUCGAACGGUAACAGGCCUUCGGGUGCUGACGAGUGGCGAACGGGUGAGUAAUGCAUCGGAACGUACCCAGAGGUGGGGGAUAACGCAGCGAAAGCUGUGCUAAUACCGCAUGUGAUCUGAGGAUGAAAGCGGGGGACCGCGCAGCAAUGUUUGGCCUCUCGCCUUUGGAGCGGCCGAUGUCGGAUUGGCUAGUUGGUGGGGUAAAGGCCUACCAAGGCGACGAUCCGUAGCUGGUCUGAGAGGACGACCAGCCACACUGGGACUGAGACACGGCCCAGACUCCUACGGGAGGCAGCAGUGGGGAAUUUUGGACAAUGGGCGCAAGCCUGAUCCAGCAAUGCCGCGUGAGGGAAGAAGGCCUUCGGGUUGUAAACCGCUUUUGGCAGGAACGAAACGGUGUCCGCUAAUACCGGGCGCUAAUGACGGUACCUGCAGAAUAAGCACCGGCUAACUACGUG
rnacentral:rRNA from 1 species